GUUAAACACCUUGGUAAGAAGAUUUGUGCUAAUUCCUGAAUAUGUCUUUUCAACGUAGUUUAUGAGAAUUAAACUCAGCUCUUAAUCCUGGAUUUUAGCGAAACCUUCCCUCUACUUAUCAAAGAAUACCAAAAGCUCAAUUGAUGGGACAAAGAGGAAAUUACUAUUAUUAUA